GACGAACGCUGGCGGCGUGCCUAAUACAUGCAAGUCGAGCGGACUGAAUGGGAGCUUGCUCUUGUUCGGUCAGCGGCGGACGGGUGAGUAACACGUGGGCAACCUGCCCGCAAGACCGGGAUAACUCCGGGAAACCGGAGCUAAUACCGGAUAACACCGAAGACCGCAGGGUCUUUGGUUGAAAGGCGGCGCAGGCUGCAACUUGCGGAUGGGCCCGCGGCGCAUUAGCUAGUUGGUGAGGUAACGGCUAACCAAGGCGACGAUGCGUAGCCGGCCUGAGAGGGUGACCGGCCACACUGGGACUGAGACACGGCCCAGACUCCUACGGGAGGCAGCAGUAGGGAAUCUUCCGCAAUGGGCGAAAGCCUGACGGAGCGACGCCGCGUGAGCGAAGAAGGCCUUCGGGUCGUAAAGCUCUGUUGUGAGGGACGAAGGAGCGCCGUUUGAAGAAGGCGGCGCGGUGACGGUACCUCACGAGGAAGCCCCGGCUAACUACGUG
rnacentral:rRNA from 1 species